rnacentral:lncRNA from 10 species
CAUAAUCACUUCCUAGAAGCACCUAACAUAUGCUUCACAUGUUUCUCCAAAGUGACUAUGAACAGAGUUAAAAGUAGUCUGUUAAUACAUCAUGAAAAAAAAGUCUUGAUGGUUUUCUCAACGGUUUUAAAUAAACAUUUCUGUAGUCUGAUUUAAAACACAGGUUGCUCCUCCACCAAAAUGCAGCUGGUGGCAAUUAUUGAAGGACAUCUCUCUGGAAAAAAAAUUUACCUAAGAACUUCAUCUAGCUUACCUGAGGUUUGCACCAUAUAAAUGUCCUGUUUGGGCAUCUGUUUAUAUAUCCACAACUGUUUUCCAUCCAUAGAUGCUGCAUUUAAGGAUAUCAAGGUAGGAAAGGAGAGAAUGGCUUAACCGCCAGUAUUUCCCAGAAUCAGCAUCUCAUGAUUGUACUGGUUACUGUGUACAUAGUCCAACUUCCAAAUUUUAUAAACAAAUCCAGAAACAGAGA